UCUUGUUCCUCCCCUCCUCUCCAUCAGAACUCAGAAAUACUAUGUCCCUGCAGGGUUUCUUUUAUGAGGCCCAAAGCACUGACUCGCUGUCCUGAACUUCCCCAAGUCAGAAUUUUUUCCAGCUGAACUGGAAGAUAAAUGCACAUGCACACAGAGGCAUUUUUUAAAUAUGAAAACCACCGUGACAGAAAAAAUUAUCUCCAAACAUCCCAUCAUGCAAAAACUGCUCUAAUCUCUCCACCACCAGAUGAGUGCUAUUGAAUGGUCCCAUGAAAUUGGAAUGAAAAGGCACUUAUAGAAGUGGGAGUCUA